rnacentral:rRNA from 1 species
GGCAUGCAAGUCGAACGAGGAUAUAUCCUUCGGGAUAUAAGCCGAGUGGCACAAGGGCGAGUAAUGCAUAGAUUACCUACCUUUAGGAUAAGGGCAACUUUGUGAAAACGGAGCUAAUACUUAAUAAUACAAAAGAAAAUAAUUUUCUUUUGUCAAAGGGAGGGUAGCAAUACCUUUCGCCUAGAGAGGGGUUUAUGUCCUAUCAGCUUGUUGGUGGGGUAAUAGCCUACCAAGGCGAAGACGGGUAGCCGGUUUAAGAGGAUGGUCGGCCACACUGGGACUGAGACACUGCCCAGACUUCUACGGAAGGCUGCAGUCGAGAAUCUUUCGCAAUGCCCGAAAGGGUGACGAAGCGACGCCGCGUGGGUGAGGAAGGCCUUCGGGUUGUAAAGCCCUGUCAGGAGUUAUGAAAUGUAAGUGCGCUAAUAUCGUGCUUAUUUGACAAAGGCUCCAAAGGAAGCCACGGCUAACUCUGUGCCAGCAGCCGCGGUAAUACAGAGGUGGCGAGCGUUGUUCGGAAUUAUUGGGCGUAAAGAGCACGUAGGUGGGUUUGCAAGUCAGAUGUGAAAGCCUUCUGUUCAACGGAAGAAUUGCAUCUGAAACUGCUAAUCUUGAGUAUAGGAGGGGAGAAUGGAACUUCUGGUGGAGCGGUGAAAUGCGUAGAUAUCAGAAGGAACGCCGGCGGCGAAAGCGAUUCUCUGGCCUAUUACUGACACUCAGUGUGCGAAAGCUAGGGGAGCAAACGGGAUUAGAUACCCCGGUAGUCCUAGCCGUAAACGAUGGGCACUAAGUAGAGGGGUUUU